rnacentral:rRNA from 1 species
GACGGGCCCCGCACAAGCAGCGGAGCGUGUGGUUUAAUUCGAUGCUACACGAAGAACCUUACCAGGGUUUGACAUGCAAGUGGUAGGAAACCGAAAGGUGACCGACCCUUCGGGGAGCUUGCACAGGUGCUGCAUGGCUGUCGUCAGCUCGUGUCGUGAGAUGUUCGGUUAAGUCCGCUAACGAGCGCAACCCUCGCUGUGUGUUAUAUGUGUCACACGGGACUGCCGGUCUUAAGCCGGAGGAAGGUGGGGAUGAUGUCAAGUCAGCAUGGCCUUUAUAUCCUGGGCUACACACACGCUACAAUGGCCAGCACAGUAGGUUGCUAAGCCGCGAGGUGGAGCCAAUCCAUAAAGCUGGUCUCAGUUCAGAUUGCAGGCUGCAACCCGCCUGCAUGAAGAUGGAGUUGCUAGUAACCGCAGGUCAGCUAUACUGCGGUGAAUACGUUCCCGGGGCUU